GACGAACGCUGGCGGCGUGCUUAACACAUGCAAGUCGAACGGAAAGGCCCUGCUUUUGUGGGGUGCCCGAGUGGCGAACGGGUGUGUAACAUGUGAGUAACCUGCCCUUUACUUUGUGAUAACUUCAGGAAACUGGUGCUAACACCGAAUAGGUGCUCCUGCUGCAUGGUGGUGGUCGGAAAGCUUCGGCUGAUGGGGCUGGAUGCGCGGGUUAUCAGCUUGUUGGUGGGGUACUGGCUUACCAAGGCUUUGGCGGGUAGCCGGCCUGAGAGGGUGACCGGCCACAUUGGGACUGAGAUAGGGCCCAGAGUCCUACGGGAGGCAGCAGUGGGGAAUAUUGCACAAUGGGCGGAAGCCUGAUGCAGCAACGCCGCGUGCGGGAUGACGGCCUUCGGGUUGUAAACCGCUGUAGCCUGUGACGAAGCGUGAGUGACGGUAAUGGGUGAAGAAGCACCGGCUAACUACGUG
rnacentral:rRNA from 1 species